rnacentral:ncRNA from 15 species
AUUAAAUAUUAGGUAAUGAGUGAUUUUUUUCUAAGGAAAAGAAUUUAAAAGGGAAGUCAGUUAAAACCUGACGCGGUCUCGCCACUGUAAUAGGGAGUUGCCUCACAAAGUGUCACUGGAUUUUAUCUGGGAAGACGUGGGGUAAUGAUGAACUAAAGCCAGGAAACCUGCUCAUUGCAGAUCAACACAG